rnacentral:rRNA from 1 species
CCUACGGGUGGCAGCAGUGGGGAAUAUUGCGCAAUGGGCGAAAGCCUGACGCAGCGACGCCGCGUGAGGGAUGAAGGUCUUCGGAUCGUAAACCUCUGUCAGCAGGGAAGAACGGUCACUGUGCUAAUCAGCAGUGAAUUGACAGUACCUGCAAAGGAAGCACCGGCUAACUCCGUGCCAGCAGCCGCGGUAAUACGGAGGGUGCGAGCGUUAAUCGGAAUUACUGGGCGUAAAGCGCUCGUAGACGGUAUGUCAAGUCAAGGGUGAAAUCCCCGCGCUCAACGUGGGAACUGCCUUUGAAACUGGCAGACUGGAGUGUGUGAGAGGAUAGUGGAAUUCCAGGUGUAGGAGUGAAAUCCGUAGAUAUCUGGAGGAACAUCAGUGGCGAAGGCGACUAUCUGGCACAUAACUGACGCUGAGGAGCGAAAGCGUGGGUAGCAAACAGGAUUAGAUAUCCGAGUAGUC